GCCUCACACACACACACACAAGACCACAUUUAUGAGUGCGCCAGUAUGUGUAUUGCCUCUUAUGCGUAAAUAAAUUGCUGUUCGUGAAAACUUAUAUAAAUUCUAGGGCUUGUGUACCAUAUUUUAGUAUGCGACUUUACAUUGUUUAGCAUUAAACCAGCCCAGCUGAGCCAAAAUCGCGCACUCAAAGGCACACACGUACACACACACAAAUGUACACACUGUCACAGAUCGUCGUGCCGCAUUCGUCCGUUUACUCUCGAUUUGUUGCAUUUAUGCAUUGUUGUUGUUGCACUGCUCGCCACCACUAUCAAAUAGCUGGUCGCUGCAGUGGUGGUGGUGGUGGCGAUGGUGGACAAUUGACGAUUAGCAACGACUGACCGGCAGCUGUUGUCGCAGGCGUUGCUGAGUGCUCAUUCCGAGCGAGCGAAAAGGUCACAUUGAGUCAGUUUCAUGACGUUUUGAGAUAAAAUUAUGGUCGCGUAAGCAUAUUUAUGCAGUAUGUGUGCAUAUAUAUUUCUGUGAGAGCAAAAGCGAACUUAGUUGAGCUGGUAUUAGUGCACGCUAGUUAAUGUCGGCUUUCUCCUAAAUGCCAAUACAGCGGGCAGCGAAAUUUCCCCUACAGUUUCACUUGUGGUCCGGUAGCCUGUUGUUCUUGUGGAGUGUUGUUGCUUUGAUGAUGAUGAUUUCAAUUCUUAUUUUUGUUUCUUUAUGGUGGUGACUUAUUAGCUUUCCGGUCAAUUGGUGGCUGAAUAAGGCAUGUGGGGAAAAGAGUUGCCAGACGCGCAGGCGCAAGAUGCUUCAAUUCUCACAAAAACACAAAUCAUUAAUAACUUUGGGCGGAUGAUCGCGAUUCUGAUCAGUUGUAAAGUCGAGCUCAAUCGGUGAUGAAGUACGCGAGUUGGUGGCCAGGAAAAAAUAAAUAAUAUAUAGUAAUGCUGUCAUAAGUGAAAGAAGACACAUAUAUUUUUUUAAAUAGUAACGAGAUUUAAAAUUUUCUUUCGAAAUAUUAGAACUUAGAUACUCUUACAGUAAGCAUUUUAAUAAAGCUAUUAUGUUUCAUUUAAUUACAUUUGGCGAACAAGCAUACCGAUCGGAAUCCGAGUUUCAUUUGCAAUCGCGUAACGAAUGUUUAAUGAGUUACGGGGUUAAGACCUCAACAGAAAUACGCGAUAGUCGUUAUCGGCACAAGCUGUUGUCGCUCGCAGUCCGGUCCAGCCGGUGCUGGGGUGCACUGCUUGGGCAAGACUCGCACAGUUGGGCCAGCUGGCCGGUGCUGCCUUGCUGGUAUCGUCUCGUAUAAGCUACUCGAUAUUACUAUAUAAUUGUUAUUUGGUUUUCACACGGAUAACAACAAUUGCAGAAUCAAUUUCGGAUAUUGUCCUACGAGAAUAUUGUUGAUAUUGAAGGAUGCAACACCUCGCAAUUUAGACACAGAUGAAACACGCGAUGAUCAUGCCUUAAACCUUCAUUGCGCAUCAUAAAAUAUUUUAAAAUGGUGAAAAGCGUUUUUGUCCGACAAUUUUUAAACUAAAUGGAUUACAUUUCACUAAUAUCGCUUUUCUAAGUACUAGUGCCGCAGGAGAUAGUUCAAACGACAUAUAGUAGACCCCUGCUGCCCCAGUGCUUAUCAAAGCGUGUUUAGUGUCAACGUCUUACGGUUAUAAAAAUACUGUAAAAAAGGCAAGAAAAACUUUUUAAGUAAAGGAAACAAUUGGUAGUUUAGUGACUGGUGAGAUAUCACAACUAAUGGUGAAUGGUGUAGACGGUUGGAGAGCCUGAUACUCACGGUUGUUCAUGGAUUCGAAAAUCGGCUGCAACGGUAUAAUUAGUUUGGAAACAUAUAUUUUCUUAAUUUCAGAGUGUUUUUCCAAGGAUAAAUCAUAUAAUUUAUAUUCAAAUACAAACCGGCAAUUAAAAGUGGAUCUUGGCUAAGGCUUGAAUGUGUUGUAAGUAUUGAUAUGCAUUUAGAGGAUACAAAUGUUAAUGAGGGAACUCCUCAUAGAAUGAAAAGUUGUAAAAGAAGGCAAAUAAUAUAUAGAAUGUACAUUAACCAAUUUACGGUGCAGAGCUCCGCCCACUUUUUAAAAUUUUUUAGCGAACGGCGGUCACGCGCUACUGUGAUCACAAAAUGCUAUUGUGUUGAAAAAAAUUGUAAAUAAUGGCUAUUCAGAUAAUUUUGUCCAACAGAGUAUUGAAUUAUGCGUGUGGGCUGCAACAUCUUUCCCGAUAUUCAAUUAUUUUGUGAUUUUCUUAUCUUUCUUUGCGAAUUAAUAAAAUUUAAUUGCCAAGCUUUUUCGCUUAGCAACUUUGUCAAAUGUGUAAUGCAAAGAAACAUUACUUGUAUAACGGAGUCGCAAAGGGAAAAAUGGAAGCGAAGACAAGAUUGGGUCCUGGAUGUGAAAACCGAAUUGUGUUAUGAGUUCUUUUUGGCUGAAAGACGACUGGGUCAUAAUAAUCAUACGCCGUGAUUUAACAGGGUAAAGCAUCAGGUGAGUAGGCUUAUAUUUGAAUGCGUGCACACGAUUUAAUGUAUAGCAAAUUUAUUUCCAGAAAUGAUGUGCAGGAUCAAAAUAGAUAUGGCGUUAUCUAAAUGACUAAUUUUUCUAUUAACGAAAUACAGCACAAGCUGUUUUUUUAAAUCGAAAAGGAUCAAUUUCAAUGUUUAAUUUUUAGUUUUUACAAGUUACUCCGUUUGAAACUAGGAUCUUGGGGUAGCGUAACAAAAAAGAACACCCUAGUGCGCAAUUAUUCAUAGCUCUGCAUGAAAAUUUAUUAAUAGAAAAGAAUAUGCAUUGAAACGCAUGUGACAAGUUAAGCCGAGUUUUUCAUUUCGAUGCAUAUUUUUAACAAUAUUCAUAUAAAUUAAUAUUAGUUUGAAACUGCUGCAAAGCGCAAAGCUUAAAAUUUUUGUCAACAAAUGUUCUGUUUUGUUUAAAUAAAUAAAACCUACAAAGCAGAAUUAGUCUUUUAAAAAUCCUAAAAGCCAUAGAAAGCCGAAACCUCAAGAUGUUGACAUUUGAGCUGAGCUUAGGCUCGCUGCAGAAGUGCGCACAGCGUAACAUGGCCUACAUUUGAGAGUGCUUGUCUUUCUGCUUGAGCAGAGUGCUAUUGCAUGCCAGAAUACAAGAGAGGUUUUCAUAAAAAUACACACGGCACAUAUACGGCAUAUACAUGUACUAACUCUGAGCAUUAGGAUUUGGGUAUGGCUGCGUGUAUGUAAACUAUUGCACAUAGGUAUAUGUAUUUACAAGCAUUUAUUUAUGUAUUCCACUGUUGUCGGCUUUACACGCUUGAUGACAAAAUGCGAAAUGCAAAAAUCGCUCGAAGUUCCAUGUAUCUUGCUGGUUCCGACCACCAAGCACAAAGUAAAAUUUUGAGUAGCGAGCCUUGUAGGAGCGAGUAGGGAGGGGAGUGCAGAGUGUAUAAAUAAUGCUACCAGCAUAACAAAAGCCAGAAUAAUGUAUACACACCAGCUUAAUAAGAAAACAGACAACAAGUGCAGAUGCCGCUGGUGUAAACGCAUAAAUGCAAAUGUAUGUGGAGCAGCAAGAGCGGGCUCUUAAGCCAAACAGCCCGCAAAUGUUGGCAUAAAGCUCAAAAGCAACGCAAACUUCACUCUGUUGAUACACUAAACUCUCGGUUCCAACAAUUCGCCAAUCCUUUUCUUAGCCGCUGAAAACAGUCAUCGGUAGCAGCACACACACACACUUGUUAUAUUGUUAUAUUGUGUGUAAGGCUGAUGUAAAUACAUAUAUUAACAUGACAUCUUACAUAAACAGACUCGUACUUUGGUAUAGAAACAUUAAGUCUGCAACGUAACAUAAUGCUUUGAUUGUUUUGUUUUUACUGUGGUUUACGUGAUAUGAAGUAUGUAUAAUUGACGUGCCUAACGCAUUCUCAGCUUUAAGACAACGUGCGAAGGAAAGCCUAGCAGUAGCUCCAUAGGGAAACACAGGUCUUUAUAUUGUACAGUGAAUCGGGCAUAACUGAUAGUAUGGGCCAUCAAUAUCUUUGGAAGAUUUACACUUUCCUUUGGCGUAGCAAUAAAAAGAAAACAAAAAGACAACGUGGCCUUUGAAGGCACCUUCAACUAUAGGCAGAGGCUGUUGUGGAAUUCAAGCGAAAUUUCUCUUUAAUUUAAUUUUAGGUGCCGCCCUAAUGAAUAUACGCACUCAAAUACAUAGGUAUGUGGAUAUGAUUCAUGCACAAGUAUGUUACUUUUAACAGUUAACUAACAGCUGACAACACUAUCUACUUUUGCCUUGUCUGUAGCAGGGUACAACGCAUAAAACCAGCACACAACAACAACUGAAAUGGCCAGAAGCCUAUUACAAUACACACAAGGCGAAUAACAAUGCAACAACAUUACCUAAAUGUUUAUUCAAGUUAUUUAACUUAAACUUCAAGUUAAAUUAAGCAAACAAAGACAACAGCAAAGAAAUGCCAGCUUCGGCGGCAGUGAGGGGAAGAUUAAGGAUGCGUAUAGCACAGUAACAACUUGUAGACGUAGCAGCCACAUUAGAGCCAUUAGCUAAGGGAUCUCAAGAUAAAUAUUUAAAGUAGAAACAACAAUAUGUCAACAGCAACAACAACCAUAAUGAGCGCUGUGGACCCAGCAAUACAAGUACAAAGGACUAACGGCCCACAAGGAGAGCAAUAACUUCUCGAGGACGACAGCGCGAGCAACCAGUGUACAUGAUAAUAUUAGUAAAAUCAACAAUGUGCAAUGUAACUAAGUACAAGCGCAUGUGUGCAAAAGCAAAGAUCAACGACAACAAAUGAUAACGACCAGGGAAACAAUCAAGCAAGCAGGCUAAGCAAAUCAACAAACUUCGCCGCUUGCCACUGCGUAUACGUAAUGUCUAACACACUCAUAAGCCUUACAUGUUAGAUAAGUAAGUCUUAUUGCAUAUACGCAUAAUACAGUUGUAAACAUGUAUUUAUUACCUGCAAAGUGUGUUAGUGUGGGAAUAUGUCUUGCUCGAAAGUUCCGUCCACGUGACAAGCUCAGUAAUCGAAACACUUCUGAUUCAAUGCUCCGAGUUACUUGCUUGUAGUCAUACAGUUUUUGUAAAAAAAUUCGAUUUUACAUUCAAACAAAAAUACAAAGAAAUCAUAACGUAAUGAGUUUAUUAGAAGCUCAUAUGUUACUAGCUGCACCCUGCGUGCGUUGCUACGCCGGCAACUGAAAUAAGUUUGAAGGAAAGAUAUUACACAAAUAUGCAAUUCAUUUUGAGUCAUUUUAUUGAUUUUGUUCAUCUGUCGAAAUUUGGUCGUGCCAUCUGAGAAACUUUUUUGGCGCAUGCACAACAACUUUGCUAUAGAUCAUCACAUGAUGAAAUGCAUAGUUUACGAUUCUAUAAAGUAAAUAUGAGUACAGACAAACAUUCAUUUGUAUGUUCAGGUGGAGCGACCAAAUUUUUUUUUUUGUUUAGCCUGAGGGUAAAAUUUGUAGAUUAUCAUAAAAGAAAAUGUUAAAAAAAAAUGUCAACUUUUAAAGUAAAUUUAGAGUUAAAAUUUUUAUUUCGUAAAAAUUUUUUGAUACGUGUUCUAGAAGCUGUGGAGAGUCCUCUUUCUGGCCAAUGAAAAGUUAUCAACUUAAAAAAAAUUUCUUAAGCGUUAAAAUAAAUUUUGAGUCAAAAACCGUCAAAUUCGGUAAUUUUUAUAUAAAUGUGAAGAGUUUAAACCAAAAAAUUUUUUGUAAUUGCACAUAUGUAUAUAAAUUAUGCAUUUUAAAAGCUUAUGUGGGAAAUAUCACUUCUGAUUAUACAAGUAUAUAUGUAAGCAUGAAAAAAAAAGAAUUUAUCAACAUAGAAUACACAGUUGUUGGUAUCUUUAUUAUACUUUCCAAUGUAAAAUUAAGGACAGGCUUUUUGCUAAUAAGCAAACAAUUUCAAUAAAACAGUUCUCUGAACGUGUUCAAUGUCUAAACCCUGAAA